UUUUUUUUUAUAAAAUUGAUGAUUGACGAACAAAUUAGAGCCCUACAAUUUUUUUUCACAUUCUGGCUAGUCGUAACAAAUCUAUCAGCGGUCAAAGUUUAAACUUACACAAAGUGCGCCGAAACGACGAGUUUUAGCUGAUCGUAAUGUGACAUCACGAAGCAUGAUUCUGCUCCGCCACAUUCAGCGCUUAUACGUGUUUCCAUGUUCUAAUAGGGAUAUUGUGUGUUGGUUUGCUUGUUUCUCAAUUACUAAAAUUAAAAUGGCUUAUAAGUACCUACUGUAGGGUGCUACAGUGUACAAGUACCACUACGUCUACACCAGGAAAAACAUUUGUAAAAGUGCCAUUGAACGAAAAGAAACGGAAAUUGUUGUUGAAAGCAGCGCGGCGAAACUGCACCGAUCUUUCUGCAAAAAGUACACAUUUAUGCUUGUGACGAGCAUUUCGAUCUUAAAAAAGACAUGGACAAUUUUAUGAAGUGGAAAAUGGUAAGAGUUCAGAAAAGAAUGAAAAAGAUGUUGUUCCACAUAAAUUUGCGUGCCAAGAAGACAGAAAACGAAGUAGUGACGCUCCUGUACAAGCCGUAGUUUUGAAACGUAAUAAACUUAAUAUUAUAAAUGACGCUCUAGAGGCUUUAGAUGCAAGAUUAUACUUGGGUAUAAAUAAAGCUUUAUUUAUAAUUAAGCGACUUAGAUAGACUGCAAACUUGGGUUUGUAAAUAUUUAUCUAGUUCUUCAAAAAAUUCGAAUUCACAAAACUUUUGCUUUGCUGAACUAAGAGAUAAUUUUGAAUUUUCCGCAAGUACGAGUAAAAUUUUUCCAAAAUCCCUUCCGUUAAUUAGCGAGAUGUUAAAGAGUUUAAUAGUCUGGAUGCUACCUAAUAAAGUUAAAAAAACGUCUAAAAAACCUAUACCUUUUCAUGCCCAUUACAGUAAAGUUUACGCCAUAAUCGUUUGUUUAGAAAUUUAAAUUCAGAGCCGGAAGAUCCAGUCAAACAACAUGCGAUGACCAGUUUCUGCACCACAUCGAGGACCAUGGGAUAACUAUAAGUUAGUUAUAGGAAGCAAGAGAGGCUGUUAGGUUUAGGUUUAGGUUUAGGUUUAUAUUAGGUUAGUUAGGGUAAUUUAKAUUAAGUUAUAUACGAUGACAUAUCUUAAGUUACAUGGAGUGUUAGACACUCCAACGAUGUUAGAUUUAAGAAGCCGUAGAUAAGUAGCAGUAGGAAGUUUGUAAACUUAGCUGAUAAUAAAUAUGUUC